GGAGGCACCGAGCAGACCUCAGGUGCGAGCCCAAAGCAAACAGCAAAGGGCAAAGUCGGAGCUGGGUGGAUUUGUUUGCCGAGUGAAGGGUUUGAGCACAGGGGCGAUGCCACAGAUCAAAUGAAGAUGUUAAAGGAUAGCGGACCUGGCACAGAUCUCACCACUAACCACUAACAACAAUACAAGUACCUUGCACUUAAAUUAUGCACUUUCCAUCAGAAGAUUUCAAGGGCCUGUGCUGCAGAAGGAUAAUUAUUAAAGCCGGGAACUCCUCUCCGCUGGGGAAUUUAAUAUUUGA